UUUUGUUUUAAGUGAUAUAGUCAGAGGUUACAAUUUGAGGAAAAGAGGAAAGGGUCGAUAGAUGUGGUAACGUUAUUUGUGCGAAAUUAUUGGUAGUUGAAAAUUGUAGGCGUAAAGAAAUAAUUUGAAGGUAGAGAGAGAUGUAGUGCUGGUGCAAAAUUACUUGCUGUGCUCUGACGAUAAUAUUAGUGCAAUAUUGGGUGUUAGGUAUCGAAAAUUAUUAUACAAGACAACUCGUUACAACAUGCUGGACUUCGUAUCUAUGAGAUAUUUCAAUCACCGCGUUCUCCGUCUUCCGAGGGAUGCUAAACGACAGCUCGUAGCAGUCUUAGGUAUGCUAUGUGAGGGCUGUUAUCCUCCCUUAGUAGCCCUGGAGUUAAUGGAUAAAGUUGAGAUCUCCAUCGGCCUUCCGGCUGCUUUUAGCGACCUUUACACCUUCCUCGAAGGCGUCCACGAAUCGCGUGUAUACCAAUAUUCCAGGGCCCGGAUAACGCUCGAGGAGUACAACCGGCCCUGUUAUUACCCAGGAGAAUUAGGUCUCGUUGAGGAGAUAUUUCAUAAUGUCCAAAAUCUUUUGGGCUCCUUCUUCUCACGCCUUGUUUAAGAAGAGAAAAAAAA